rnacentral:tRNA from 1 species
GUUUUAAUAAUUUAAUAAAAAUAUUAACCUUGUAAGUUAAACUUAAGUAAAUCUUUUAAAACA